UACGUAGGGGGCUAGCGUUGUCCAGAAUCAUUGGGCGUAAAGCGCGCGUAGGCGGCCCGGUAAGUCCGCUGUGAAAGUCAAAGGCUCAACCUUUGAAUGUCAGCGGAUACUGCCGGGCUAGAGUCCGGAAGAGGAGAGUGGAAUUCCCGGUGUAGCGGUGAAAUGCGCAGAUAUCGGGAAGAACACCCGUGGCGAAGGCGGCUCUCUGGAACGGUACUGACGCUGAGACGCGAAAGCGUGGGGAGCGAACAGG
rnacentral:rRNA from 1 species